rnacentral:rRNA from 1 species
GACGAACGCUGGCGGCGUGCCUAAUACAUGCAAGUUGAGCGAUGAAGAUUGGUGCUUGCACCAAUUUGAAGAGCAGCGAACGGGUGAGUAACGCGUGGGGAAUCUGCCCUUGAGCGGGGGACAACAUUUGGAAACGAAUGCUAAUACCGCAUAACAACUUUAAACAUAAGUUUUAAGUUUGAAAGAUGCAAUUGCAUCACUCAAAGAUGAUCCCGCGUUGUAUUAGCUAGUUGGUGAGGUAAAGGCUCACCAAGGCGAUGAUACAUAGCCGACCUGAGAGGGUGAUCGGCCACAUUGGGACUGAGACACGGCCCAAACUCCUACGGGAGGCAGCAGUAGGGAAUCUUCGGCAAUGGACGAAAGUCUGACCGAGCAACGCCGCGUGAGUGAAGAAGGUUGUCGGAUCGUAAAACUCUGUUGGUAGAGAAGAACGUUGGUGAGAGUGGAAAGCUCAUCAAGUGACGGUAACUACACAGAAAGGGACGGCUAACUACGUG